GACGAACGCUGGCGGCGUGCUUAACACAUGCAAGUCGAGCGGUAAGGCCUUUCGGGGUACACGAGCGGCGAACGGGUGAGUAACACGUGGGCGACCUGCCCUCCACUCUGGGAUAAGCCUGGGAAACUGGGUCUAAUACCGGAUAUGACCUUCCUCUGCAUGGGGGUUGGUGGAAAGUUUUUCGGUGGGGGAUGGGCCCGCGGCCUAUCAGCUUGUUGGUGGGGUGAUGGCCCACCAAGGCGACGACGGGUAGCCGGCCUGAGAGGGCGACCGGCCACACUGGGACUGGGACACGGCCCAGACUCCUACGGGAGGCAGCAGUGGGGAAUAUUGCGCAAUGGGCGGAAGCCUGACGCAGCGACGCCGCGUGGGGGAUGACGGCCUUCGGGUUGUAAACCUCUUUCGCCAGGGACGAAGCGUGAGUGACGGUACCUGGAUAAGAAGCACCGGCCAACUACGUGCCAGCCGCCGCCGUAAGAC
rnacentral:rRNA from 1 species